rnacentral:rRNA from 1 species
GCUAAGAAUAUUCCGCAAUGGACGAAAGUCUGACGGAGCGACGCCGCGUGGAUGAAGAAGGCCGAAAGGUUGUAAAGUUCUUUUGCUAGGGGAGAAUAAGUGAGGGAGGGAAUGCCCUCAUGAUGACAAGGACUAGCGAAUAAGCCCCGGCCAACUACGUGCCAGCAGCCGCGGUAACACGUAGGGGGCGAGCGUUGUUCGGAAUUACUGGGCGUAAAGGGCAUGUAGGCGGCUUGGUAAGCCUGGCGUGAAAGACUGCAGCUUAACUGUAGGGAUGCGUUGGGAACUGCUUAGCUUGAGUUACGGAGAGGGAGCUGGAAUUCCUGGUGUAGGGGUGAAAUCUGUAGAUAUCAGGAAGAACACCGAUGGCGAAGGCAAGCUUCUGGUCGAUAACUGACGCUGAGGUGCGAAAGUGUGGGGAUCAAACAGGAUUAGAAACCCCAGUAGUCC